GAUGAACGCUGGCGGCGUGCCUAAUACAUGCAAGUCGAGCGAACAGACGAGGAGCUUGCUCCUCUGACGUUAGCGGCGGACGGGUGAGUAACACGUGGAUAACCUACCUAUAAGACUGGGAUAACUUCGGGAAACCGGAGCUAAUACCGGAUAAUAUAUUGAACCGCAUGGUUCAAUAGUGAAAGACGGUUUUGCUGUCACUUAUAGAUGGAUCCGCGCCGCAUUAGCUAGUUGGUAAGGUAACGGCUUACCAAGGCAACGAUGCGUAGCCGACCUGAGAGGGUGAUCGGCCACACUGGAACUGAGACACGGUCCAGACUCCUACGGGAGGCAGCAGUAGGGAAUCUUCCGCAAUGGGCGAAAGCCUGACGGAGCAACGCCGCGUGAGUGAUGAAGGUCUUCGGAUCGUAAAACUCUGUUAUUAGGGAAGAACAAAUGUGUAAGUAGCUAUGCACGUCUUGACGGUACCUAAUCAGAAAGCCACGGCUAACUACGUG
rnacentral:rRNA from 1 species